CUCUUCCUCCUGUGCGGCUGCGGCUGCGCCUGCACCUCUCCCUCCUCCUUCACUCCCCAGUUCCUCACCAAUCCGUCCUUUGCGCCGACGCCCACCCACCACCACCACCGCUCUCUCUGCGCCCCUCCACAUUCCUACCACCAAGGGCCCCUCCAUCUUCUUCCCCAACACUUAGCACUCUAGAUCGAGCAGUGAUGUGGGUUGUCAUCUGGUUGCACGCCAGAUUGAGCGCUGACGCACGUCUCUGGUCAGAGGCAUGCUAGGUCUAAUGGUGGCGUGUGUCUCCGGCCGGGAUCCCGCCAUCUGGCUCAUCACCAUCACCUGCAGUAAGGCAUCAGCUAAUAAUGGUGUGCUCAAUUCAGGAUCUUCGUCGCUCGCCAUGGCUAGCUGGCAAUAAAGGGUUAACGAUUCAGCUCUGUGUUCUAUCCAGACUCAGUUUGACCAGGCAGGCGCUUGCUGUUUUGUGAUUUAGCGGUGCUUCAAUGAAUGAUCAUGCAAUGCAAACAAGUGGGGGCACUACUCUCAGGCUCUAAGGCUUGAUGGACAAUUCAAGCUGACCAUGUGAAACAGAAGUUUUGGAGCCUAUACACUUAUAGCAUGGAAACAAUCAUGGAGGACAGUGGUGGAUGUAACAGGGAGCUCGUCGUCUGUGUGUUCAUUUGGCUCUUAGUUGCCAAACAUGGAUGUGGUGGUCGUUCCUUCUUUUGUAGUGUUGUGCUUUUGCACAUUAACUAGUAGGAGGCUAUAAUCUGUUAUCUUUGAUUUUACCUAUAUGACUCAAUGAUGCAUGCUGGUAUCUUAGUCAUCUUGGCUAAAACUUGAACUGCGAGAUGAGAUAGCAAUGCUUUUGAAUGUUUUGAGUACGGAACAUUUGGACAUCAUCAAUGUAUGUGCUGAACAUUUGGACACCUUAUUUAUAUGUAUGCUAUUUAUUAUGGUGUAAUGUGUCAUGAAAUUAUUCUAUGGACAAUAUAUAUUUUAAUA